GAUGAACGCUAGCGGCAGGCCUAACACAUGCAAGUCGAGGGGUAGAGGCUUUCGGGUCUUGAGACCGGCGCACGGGUGCGUAACGCGUAUGCAACCUGCCUUGUACUGAGGGAUAGCCCAGAGAAAUUUGGAUUAACACCUCAUAGUAUUUUAGUGUGGCAUCACAUUAUUAUUAAAGGUUACGGUACAAGAUGAGCAUGCGUCCCAUUAGCUAGUUGGUAUGGUAACGGCAUACCAAGGCUACGAUGGGUAGGGGUCCUGAGAGGGAGAUCCCCCACACUGGUACUGAGACACGGACCAGACUCCUACGGGAGGCAGCAGUGAGGAAUAUUGGUCAAUGGUCGCAAGACUGAACCAGCCAUGCCGCGUGCAGGAUGAAGCAUCUAUGGUGUGUAAACUGCUUUUGUACGGGAAGAAACACCGCUACGUGUAGCGGCUUGACGGUACCGUAAGAAUAAGGAUCGGCUAACUCCGUGCCAGCAGCCGCCGCGGUAA
rnacentral:rRNA from 1 species